UACGGAGGGGGCCAGCGUUGUUCGGAAUCAUUGGGCGUAAAGGGUGCGUAGGCGGCGCGGUAAGUCGGGUGUGAAAUCUCGGAGCUUAACUCCGAAACUGCAUUCGAUACUGCCGUGCUUGAGGACUGGAGAGGAGACUGGAAUUUACGGUGUAGCGGUGAAAUGCGUAGAUAUCGUAAGGAAGACCAGUGGCGAAGGCGGGUCUCUGGACAGUUCCUGACGCUGAGGCACGAAGGCCAGGGGAGCAAACGGG
rnacentral:rRNA from 1 species